rnacentral:rRNA from 1 species
UACGAAGGGGGCUAGCGUUGCUCGGAAUUACUGGGCGUAAAGGGCGCGUAGGCGGACAGUUUAGUCAGAGGUGAAAGCCCAGGGCUCAACCUUGGAAUUGCCUUUGAUACUGGCUGUCUUGAGUUCGGGAGAGGUGAGUGGAAUGCCGAGUGUAGAGGUGAAAUUCGUAGAUAUUCGGAAGAACACCAGUGGCGAAGGCGACUCACUGGCCCGAUACUGACGCUGAUGCGCGAAAGCGUGGGGAGCAAACAGG